GAUGAACGCUAGCUACAGGCUUAACACAUGCAAGUCGCAGGGUAACAUGAGGAAAGCUUGCUUUCCUUGAUGACGACUGGCGCACGGGUGAGUAACGCGUAUCCAACCUUCCCAUAACUACGGGAUAACCCGUUGAAAGACGGCCUAAUACCGUAUGAUAUCGUUUGCUGACAUCAAAUAACGAUUAAAGGUUUAGCGGCUAUGGAUGGGGAUGCGUCUGAUUAGCUUGUUGGCGGGGUAACGGCCCACCAAGGCGACGAUCAGUAGGGGUUCUGAGAGGAAGGUCCCCCACAUUGGAACUGAGACACGGUUCAAACUCCUACGGGAGGCAGCAGUGAGGAAUAUUGGUCAAUGGGCGAGAGCCUGAACCAGCCAAGUAGCGUGCAGGACGACGGCCCUAUGGGUUGUAAACUGCUUUUAUGUGGGGAUAAAGUGCGUGACGUGUCAUGCAUUGCAGGUACCACAUGAAUAAGGACCGGCUAAUUCCGUG
rnacentral:rRNA from 1 species